rnacentral:lncRNA from 1 species
AGCCAGACCGCAUGCCGGCCACCUGCCCGCACCUCCAGCCGCGCGCGGCCCGAGAGGAGGGGGCCACUGGCUCGGUGCGCUCGAGCUUCUCCGCCCUCUCCCUGCGGACCCCGGACGCGCACCCCAUCGCCGCCCGGCCACUGCAGGGCCUGGGGUUUCCUCCUCUCGGGCUCUCCACGUCCCGCCUCCUCCGCACUGGGCCAGAGAGGGACAUCGAUGAGGCGGAGAUGCCUCUUGGGAGUCCAUCUUCCCGGUCUGUGCAAGAUCCAUCUCCACUUCAUGCAGCACCUUCAUCCUCGCCAGCGUGGGCAGCCGUCCUUCCCCAGAGUGCGAGGAUUUGCGAAGAGAAGAGGAGAGAGGAGUGGAACCCCCGUCGCCCCGCCUGAAAGGUGGUUUUCUGGCUGCGGUGACUUUAGAGUUUCUUUAAGAGUAUAGGUGCGCGCGCGCACACACAUCUGCAGCAGUUGUGAGUGGCCUUGAAUUGUCCAGAGGAAGAAUGAAUGAGAUGUAAACGUGAGAGAAAGGUUUCCUUGCCUCUGGAGGUCCUGGAAAGUGAGUGACCUGGAGCGCUGAGAGUGAUGUACACUCCCCCGGGACACGGUGCGGGCGCGAGUGGGGAGACUGGACGUACCAACCUCCCGCAACUGUCCGCGAUUGGGCAGGUGCGCAGCGCGCGUGCGCUCUCGGGUCCGCUUGCCGUCUCCGCGGUGCAGAGAGGUGGCGCGGCACACGAGAUGAUGAUCUUGCUGCCCAGGGUCUGGCAGAGCCCAAGAGUCCCGGAAACUGGGCUCCUGGAAACUUAAGGUUAUUUCAUUCACGGUGUAACAAUCAGGAAGCCAUUUCAUCUUCUGUAACUGGACUCAGGGAGCUUAAAGAGCCCGUUCUCCCCUCUCCUCUCAAAACUGACUUACUGUUGCCCCCACCUGGAAGAUAUUAAAAGUUAUUCGCGCAGAAUAUAAACUGUAGGCUUCCCCCGCCUCUUUUCUUAAUUUCAUUUUUUAAAUAACUUAUUUUGGAAGAUCCAAAUCUGGAAAUUUUGUGCAUUAAAAUUUCCAGGAAAGUUGUUUGGUAAGCAGUAACAUUUCUCCCGUACCUCCAGUCCAAAUACAUUUCGAAAUUAGGAGCAGAAAAUAAAGCAGUGUUGGUAAUUGAUUCCAGAUUUUAUACUGUGAAACAACUAAUGACUUUCCAUUAUCUGAUAAAAUAGAAAAAUAGUGCCCAAAGAUGAAAUUGACAAGUCUUUCUUCCUUUGAUUAUAA